rnacentral:rRNA from 1 species
UACAGAGGGGGCAAGCGUUGUUCGGAAUUACUGGGCGUAAAGGGCGCGUAGGCGGCCUGCUAAGUCGAACGUGAAAUCCCCGGGCUCAACCCGGGAACUGCGUCCGAUACUGGUAGGCUUGAAUUCGGGAGAGGGAUGCGGAAUUCCAGGUGUAGCGGUGAAAUGCGUAGAUAUCUGGAGGAACACCGGUGGCGAAGGCGGCAGCCUGGACCGAAAUUGACGCUGAGGCGCGAAAGCCAGGGGAGCAAACGGG